rnacentral:misc_RNA from 1 species
CAAAACUUUACAUUCCCUUUAAAAAUCUUCAAUGUAACAAGUUAAAAAACACAUUUAAGACCCCUUUGUUUUAUUUCAAGUACAACAGACUGUUUUUUUUUUACCAACUUUGAUUCUACAAAUAAUUUGGCAUUGCUAAAAUGGCACAAGCCAUUUGGCAGAAUCAUUACAAAUAUCAGCUAGCUGCCCUUCUAAACUAUCAUAAUAAAAACCAACGAGGACACCGCUAGAAGUUGUUUAGAAGACUGAGAACUGAAUUAUUAAACAGCAACUAAUUUGUAAUUUUUAUAAAAAAAUGGUUGCCUUCUCAUUCUGAUUGCUGCAGAGCCUCAACAAAUGCAUCCUUCAGGAGAGGGUUUGAAGCUGCCACUCUCUGAGAUGUGAUGUCAAAAUCUUUACCAGAUGGGUCAUAAACAAGUCCUCCAGCUUCUUUGACAAUCACGGCACCACCUGCUACAUCCCAUGGACCCCCAAAUCCAGUUUCAUAAAAUAAAUCAAGUCUUCCGCAUGCAAUUCCACAUAGAUUCAGUGCGCAGGAACCACUCAUCCUAAGGGAUCUCACCUUGAAAAGCAAGCUAUUAAUUCUGUUUGUAGUGGCAUCCACGGUAGCCUUAUCACGUUUUGUUCCAACCUCUGUUGCAAGAAGAGACUUCACAAGCUCCGUUUGUGAUGAUACUUUUAUAGGGUUGCCAUUAAGAAAAGCACCUUUUCCAAGGACGCCAGUAAAAAGCUCAUUUAAAAUUGGGUUGUAAACAACACCUACAGUAGGAACCUUUCCAAUUGUAAGACCAAUAGAAAUGCAGACAAGGGGAAACCCAUGCACGAAGUUGGUUGUUCCAUCAAGAGGAUCAACUAUCCACGUGGGUUCAUCAGUCAGCUCUGUAAUACCAUAGGCAGCAGUAGUUUCUUCCCCAAU